rnacentral:rRNA from 1 species
UACGGGGGGGCAAGCGUUGUUCGGAAUUACUGGGCGUAAAGGGCUCGUAGGCGGCCAACUAAGUCAGACGUGAAAUCCCCAGGCUCAACCUGGGAACUGCGUCUGAUACUGGAUGGCUUGAAUCCGGGAGAGGGAUGCAGAAUUCCAGGUGUAGCGGUGAAAUGCGUAGAUAUCUGGAGGAAUACCGGUGGCGAAGGCGGCAUCCUGGACCGGCAUUGACGCUGAGGAGCGAAAGCCAGGGGAGCAAAGCGGGG